rnacentral:rRNA from 1 species
GAUGAACGCUGGCGGCGUGCUUAACACAUGCAAGUCGAACGAUGAAGCCCAGCUUGCUGGGUGGAUUAGUGGCGAACGGGUGAGUAACACGUGAGUAACCUGCCCUUAACUCUGGGAUAAGCCUGGGAAACUGGGUCUAAUACCGGAUAGGAGCGUCCACCGCAUGGUGGGUGUUGGAAAGAUUUAUCGGUUUUGGAUGGACUCGCGGCCUAUCAGCUUGUUGGUGAGGUAAUGGCUCACCAAGGCGACGACGGGUAGCCGGCCUGAGAGGGUGACCGGCCACACUGGUACUGAGACACGGAGCAGACUCCUACGAGAGGCAACAGUGGAAAAUAUUGCACAAUAGGAGCAAGCCUGAUGCAGCGACGCCGCGUGAGGGAUGACGGCCUUCGGGUUAUAAACCUCUUUCAGUAGGGAAGAAGCGAAAGUGACGGUACCUGCAGCAGAAGCACCGGCUAACUACGUG